rnacentral:rRNA from 1 species
UAACUGGAGAGUUUGAUCCUGGCUCAGAACGAACGUUAGCGGCGCGCCUAACACAUGCAAGUCGUGCGAGAAAGGGCUUCGGCCCCGGU